UACGUAGGGGGCAAGCGUUGUCCGGAUUUACUGGGUGUAAAGGGCGCGCAGGCGGGAUAAAAAGUCAGUGGUGAAAUCCUACAGCUUAACUGUAGAACUGCCUUUGAUACUUUUAUUCUUGAGUUCGGGAGAGAGAGACGGAAUUCCAGGUGUAGUGGUGAAAUACGUAGAUAUCUGGAAGAACACCAGUUGCGAAGGCGGUCUCUUGGUCCGAUACUGACGCUGAGGCGCGAAAGCGUGGGGAGCAAACAGG
rnacentral:ncRNA from 2 species